UGUCCAUCUGUCCGCGAAUAUACCUCCUCCGUUAUUAAAACAAAUAAAAUGACGAAUAGGACGUCGAAUGAAAGCUUAUAAGCCAAGGAUGGAUUGAAAUCAGCUGUAGUUGUCAAUGUUAAAUUAUCAUUUACUAAUACGACUCAUAUUAUUAUUAAAAUAUCAUUCCAGGUUUGUAAUCAAAAUUUGUGUAAGUAUUUUACAAAAGGUAAAAAUUGUAAUAAUUAAAUUCUGUACAACUUACUAAAUUCUAGUCAGAAGCUGUAUACAUGAACGCCACAAGGUUCAAAUGGUUUCAAUGGGACAGAAGUAAUCGCAUUUUAUUGCUAAUGUUUCUGCUACAGACAAAAAACCCACUUACAUUUAGGUGUUACGGAAUUGUUUAUCAAAAUCGUGCACUACUAUUUGUGGUAUAUCGUAUGCUACAUUUGUGUAUUGCAUUCUACAGAUGUAUAAACACCUAAGCAUUGUACAAUAUAUAAAAAUGACAGUCAGCGUCCUUUUUGUUGAAGAAGUCAGCUUUGAUAAUUUUAAGAAAAAUUGGAUGUUUGGGCAUCAAGCUAUUAUUUUUUUUAUUAGCUAGUUUUUAUUUUUCACUUAAUCACUAAUUAGUUGUAAAAUUAUGUAAUAUUGUACAUAUGUAAAUAAUAUACGAAAAGGAAUAUUCUCA